GCCAUCAUUCAGUUGGGCGACUCUAGCGAGACUGCCGGUAAUAAACCGGAGGAAGGUGGGGAGUGACGUCAAAUCAUCAUGCCCCUUAUGACCUGGGCUACACACGUGCUACAAUGGUUGGUACAACGAGUUGCGAGUCGGUGACGGCGAGCUAAUCUCUUAAAGCCAAUCUCAGUUCGGAUUGUAGGCUGCAACUCGCCUACAUGAAGUCGGAAUCGCUAGUAAUCGCGGAUCAGCACGCCGCGGUGAAUACGUUCCCGGGCCUU
rnacentral:rRNA from 1 species